rnacentral:snRNA from 1 species
GUGCUCGCUUCCACAGCACAUAUACUAAAAUUGGAAUGAUACAGAGAAAAUUAGCAUGGCCCCUGCGCAAGGAUGACACGCAAAUUUGUGAAGUGUUCCAUGUUUUA